rnacentral:lncRNA from 1 species
GGACAAAAGCCAUGGCUGCUUGUUAUCCGGUCAAUGGAACGGGUUAUGUACGUCAUGUUGAUAAUCCAAAUGGAGACGGAAGACGUGUGAAAUGUAUUACAUUACGUUAAAGAACGGGAUGCCAAGCCCUGCCUGAUGUGGCUCUGGGAAUUCCUGCAGAGAAGAGCAGGGGUGGCCAGGAGAUAGUGAGCAGCUCCCAGGAGGCAUGGAGGGAUCCAGAACCUGGACUGAAGAACCACCUAGAAAUAACUCAGCAGAAUUCUGAAAAUGAGGUCACGCUGGAUUUUCCAAUCCAUAGGCCCAAAGUGAACUCCCACGUGGAGUAGGAUGAAAACCCACAGCAUCUAGAUCUUCAAAUUCUGGAGAAAAAGAGAGUGUGAAAGACUGCUCAGUGGCUGGGGUGAGAGUCAAGUCUGGCCAGGUGCUAAUCUGGAGAAAAGCCAAGACCUGGAGCGAGCUGGAGUGGCAGGCCCUGGAGGAUGAGAAGGUGGCAGGAGUGCACUGGGGAUACAAAGAAACCAAGAUUUUUCUGGGAAUUCUCAGAGGCCUGGAUCCACGAAAAACUCCGCACCUGCCAUCGAAACCACCAGGUGUACCGGAUUAUGGCUGAGCAGCUGUGAGAACAUGGCUUCCUGUGGACCCUGGAGCAAUGUUGCUAUCGGUUCAAAAACCUCCUGACCGACUACUGCAAAGCCAGGAGCACCUACACACCAGGCACCAGUGUCUUCUAUGAUGAGAUGGAUGCCCUGUUGAGUCUUGGGGCACUUUCUAACACCUUUGAUGCCUUAGAGGUGGUAGGAGGCCUUCUUUGGGAUUGAGAGGAUUCCAAAGGGAACCAGGGCAUAGCACUAGAAGAUGUGGCGGGAUGGUAAUGAAAUAGUGGAGGAGUCUCAAGAGGAAUCCUGGAGGCUUGGUCCCCAGGCCUUGAGGUGGAAUCCCAGUGGCAACUCUCCCCCACAAUGGACCUCAGAGCAGUGGGAGCGACGCAGUCCUGUGGGAAGCAUUCAGGCUCAGAAUCAGGAGAUGUGAUUAUUGUCCUGGCUCUGUUAUGACUAAUUUGGGUCUGGAAUGGCCUCAUCGGGGGAAAAAUUGGUGACAACUUUAAGAAAUACUGUUUAUAUCCCGUCCUCAAAUAUUGCUUGACUCAACCCUCUACUGAACCAGUAGUCCAGGGUGGCUCACAAAGACCACUUUGAGGCUCUUGCUCUGCUCUUUAGCCAAGGAGUCUCCCUUCCUGCCUUCAGUAACAACAUUACAGGAAGAGAGGAGAGAAAGGACUUCCAGUUCCCCAGCCAGAUGGGGUCACAAUGCUGCAGAAAAGUGAAGAGCUUUGGAAUGAAGAUCUCCCGGACUUCAAGGAGAUUCAGAAAACGUCCAGUGCAGGUGGGAAAUGAAUGGGAGCUAGCAUUCCACCAACAAAGUCAGCCCUGGGAUUCUAAACUCGGACAAGCCAGCACUGGUUAAGGGCUGAGGGGAACCAGGCACUCAGUGCACCCAGUUUACUAUUCUGUGGUGUGGAAAGCACAGGACUUGAGAAGCAGGUGGCACCCAGGAAAGCCUGUUCCCCUAAGUAAGUUUGAACUUUAGUUACUUGAAAAAAGGUAUAACUGAAUUAUGAGUGUUUAUGAUUUUAUCUUUAUUUUAUUUUUUUUGAGAUGGAGUCUCACCCUGUCACCCAGGCUGGAAUGCAGUGGCACAAUCUCGGUUCACUGCAGCCUCUACCUCUCAGGUUCAAGCAAUUCUCCUGCCUCACCCUCCUGAGUAGUGGGGAUUACAGGUGUGCCACCACCAUGCCCGUCUCUAAUUUUUAUAUUUUUAGUAGAGACGGGGUUUCACCAUGUUGGCCAGGCUGGUCUUGAACUCCUGACCUCAAGUGAUCCACCCACCUUGGCCCCCCACAAAGUGCUGGGAUUACAGGCGUGAGCCACUGUGCCUGGUCUAUCUUUAAAUUCCUAUCUGAAUUUGUUUAGGUUUUUUAAAUAAAAAUCUUUCUUUUUUUUUAGAGACAGGGGUUCACCAUGGUGCCCAGGCUGAUCUCGAACUCCUCCUGGACUCAAGCUAUCCUCCCACCUCAGCCUCCCAAAGUACUGGGAUUACAGACAUGAGCCACAUGCUUGACCUGAAUUUUAACUGCAGUUAAUUAUCACUUAACCAGCGAAUUCACACAGGAGAAAUCCCCUGGCCGGGCGCGGUGGCUCACACCUGUAAUCCCAGCUCUUCGGGAGGCCGAGGUGGGUAGAUCACAAGGUCAAGAGAUCAAGACCAUUCUGGCCAACAUGGUGAAACUCCGUCUGUACCAAAAAUACAAAAAUUACCUGGGCAUGGUGGUACGUGCCUGUAAUCCCAGCUACUUGGCAGGCUGAGGCAGGAGCAUUGCUUGAACCCAUGAGGUGGAGGUUGCAGUGAGCCGAGAUCACGCCACUGCACUCAAGCCUGGGUGACAGAGCAAGACUCCAUCUCUACUACAAAAAAAAAAAAAAAAAAAAUUCAACCACCUUAGGAAGCCUCUCAUUUAUGUAUUUCUAGCAUGUAAUUAGUGUUGCACAUGGGAAGGGCUAAUAGAUGCUGACAGAGUGAACAACUUAUCUAUUUUGUGUGUGUGUGUGUAACAGGGUCUCAUUCUGUUGCCCAGGCUGGAAUACAGUGGCAUGAUCACAGCUCACUGCAAACUUCAACUGCCAGGCUCAGGCAACCCUCCCACCUCAGCCUCUUGAAUAGCUGGGACUGCAGGCUCAUACCACCACAACCAGCUAACUUGUAUUUUUAGUAGAGACAAGGUUUCGCCAUGUUGCUCAGGCUAGUCUCGAACUCCUGGACUCAAGUGAUCCACCUGUCUUGGCUGCCUACAUUGCUGGGAUUACAGGCAUGAGCCACCAUGCCCAGCCAAAUUUUUUUUUUUUUUUAAGGGAAGGGAUCUUGCUAUGUUGCCCAGGCUGGUCUCAAACUCCUCAGCUCAAGCAAUCUGCCCACCUCAGCCUCUGAAAGUGCUGGGAUUACAGGCAUGAGCCACCAUGUCCAGCACACUUUAAUAUUCACUAUGGGCCCUCAAAAGGAAAUGUUUGUGGGGCCACCAAAAGCAAAUGUCUCUUGAACCUAGUCACCUGGGGGGACAAGUGUGGGAAAGUGCACCUGUG